UACGUAGGGUGCGAGCGUUGUCCGGAAUUAUUGGGCGUAAAGAGCUCGUAGGCGGUCUGUCGCGUCGGUCGUGAAAACUUGGGGCUUAACCCUGAGCUUGCGGUCGAUACGGGCAUGACUGGAGUUCGGCAGGGGAGACUGGAAUUCCUGGUGUAGCGGUGAAAUGCGCAGAUAUCAGGAGGAACACCUGUGGCGAAAGCGGCUCACUGGACCAUAACUGACGCUGAUGCCCGAAAGCUAGGGGAGCAAACAGG
rnacentral:rRNA from 1 species